GUGGGGAAUAUUCCGCAAUGGGCGCAAGCCUGACGGAGCAACGCCGCGUGAAUGAAGACGGUCUUCGGAUUGUAAAGUUCUGUCAUUAGGGACGAAGGACUCAUGUAAAUAAUAUGAGGAAUGACGGUACCUAAGGAGGAAGCUCCGGCUAACUACGUGCCAGCAGCCGCGGUAAUACGUAGGGAGCAAGCGUUGUCCGGAAUUACUGGGCGUAAAGGGCGCGUAGGCGGAUAAUUAAGUCAGAUGUGAAAUCUCCAGGCUUAACUUGGAGCGUGCAUUUGAAACUGGUUAUCUUGAGGGCAGGAGAGGAAAGUGGAAUUCCUAGUGUAGCGGUGAAAUGCGUAGAUAUUAGGAGGAACACCAGUGGCGAAGGCGACUUUCUGGACUGAACCUGACGCUGAGGCGCGAAAGCAUGGGGAGCGAACGGGAUUAGAUACCCCAGUAGUCC
rnacentral:rRNA from 1 species